rnacentral:rRNA from 1 species
GACGAACGCUGGCGGCGUGCUUAACACAUGCAAGUCGAACGAAGAGUCGAACGGGUGAGUAACGCGUAAUCAACCUGCCCAUCAGAGGGGGAAAACCGUUGGAAACGACUGCUAAUACCGCAAACGGAAGGAGGGGAUUGCGUCUGAUUAGCUAGUUGGAGGGGUAACGGCCCAACAAGGCGAUGAUCGGUAGGCGGGUUGAGAGGAUGAUCGGCCACAAUGGGACGGGUAAACGGCCCAGACUCCUACGGGAGGCAGCAGGUGGGAAUCUUCCGCAAGGAACGAAAGUCUGACGGAGCGACGCCGCUUGAGUGAGGGCGGCGUUCGGGUUGUAAAGCUCUGUUAAUCGGUACGCGGUACCGGAAUAGAAAGCCACGGCUAACUACGUGCCAGGAGACGCGGUAAUUC